rnacentral:pre_miRNA from 2 species
UGACGGGAUGUUGACCUAGCCUCUCCUUGGCUUUGUCUGUGUCUUAAAGAUGUCUCAGACAUAGCCUGAUAGAGGUUACGUUUUAUCCCUUUAA